UUGGAACUAUGUCACAAUUGAAAUUUAUUUUCUUGACGCGUACUACUUGCAGUAACACACCACAGAAAUAUCUGGAAGCUUGACUGUGAAAGAAGAUCUACCGGGGCAGUCAACUAAAAUUUGUAUAUGUCAUCGAUUUGUAGAUAUCCCUGUAAUUAAUCUAGCCAUAUUUUUGGGUUCUUCAUGUAUUUUUUUUCUUUUGCUAGCCACUGCACCCGUAAGUGAUAUUUACAAUUCUCAAAACAGAGUUUAUACCUAGAUUGUUCAUGUUGAUUGUACUAUUUGUUUUUCUCCCACGUUGUCUCAAGGAAUUGGAGUGUGUACAUGUACAUAAGACUUAUCUGAUAAAUAGUGACUACACAUUAAUCAUUUCAUUAUUCUUUUUAUUAAACGAUAGAUCCUUAUUUGUCCGUUGCAACGCACUGGCAUUUAACUAGUACGACAAAUGUGUGAUCGAGUGAGGAUGCUAAGCCGGGAACUAACUUUUCUUUUGAGAGGAAAUAUAAUUAUGGUAACUCCUAAACAGAUCGAGGACGGUAGAGACGUGAAGUCAUGCUUUCACUAAUUAUGCUUUAGAUCUUUCUUGCUCGCUGUUAAGCACGCAUGGUAUGUUUGAUAGGAACAACUUAUAAGCGAGACCUUGCAGGCUUAUCUCGUGUUGACAUCAAUUUUAGUA
rnacentral:lncRNA from 1 species